CGGGACGGGUGAGUAAUGUAUGGGGAUCUGCCUGAUGGGGGGGGAUAACUACUGGAAACGGUAGCUAAUACCGCAUAAUGUCUACGGACCAAAGCGGGGGACCUCCGGGCCUCGCGCCAUCAGAUGAACCCAUAUGGGAUUAGCUUGUAGGUAAGGUAACGGCUUACCUAGGCGACGAUCCCUAGCUGGUCUGAGAGGAUGAUCAGCCACACUGGGACUGAGACACGGCCCAG
rnacentral:rRNA from 1 species